UGUGUGCGUGCGUGUGCGCCUGUGUGUGUGUGUGCGCGCGGGCGCGCGCACGUGAGGAAAGAGGGAGGGAAAGAGAAUGAGAAUGAAGAGGACAGGGAGAGCGCAGAGAGGAAAACUGCAGAAAACCACAGGGAAAGUACGGUACAGCCUCAGAUUUUUAAUUUAAAAAAAAAAACUUGCUUCUAGUUCAUUUCCCCAUCACUCCCGGCUCCUGCCUAACGAGGUCGUGUCGGGGACGUUUGGCAUGGCGCUCUUGCUUUUGUUCCUUUUAAUUCCGCGGGCCCCCUACUCCUCUGCCAGCCGAUUAUCGCGCCCCGAAGGCUUUCUGCUAACACCCAGAGGCAGCAGGAUCUGCAGACCGUACCAACGCCCGGCUAGAGUUUUGUUUUUGUUUUUGUUUUUUUAAGUGGUACUUUCUUCCCUGUGCAGAUCCAGGACCCUUGUCAACAUUCAUUUUUUUCUAGGACAAGAAGAGACCAGCUUAACUCAGAGAGCACUCCCUUCAAGCUUUGCGGACAAGGGCCACCCUGGAGAGUCUUUGGGGCCCGCGGUGGAAUCAUGAGGGAGGAAUGGGAGGGAGUCGUUUGGAUGUUUGAUGUUGUCUGAUGUUGCCAAAGUGUGUGUGUGUGUGUGUACACGCGCGCGCGACUGGUGUGCGACUCCAAAGUGGAUCUCACUUAGAGCUGGGAAGCAUGGCGGGGGGGAGAGAGAGAAUGCAUAGCGAGAGAGAAUGCUUAGCAAGGAGGAUUGGCCGGCACUCCCUGCCCAGCUUUGUUGUGGUCGACGGGGGCGCAGAGGCCAGGCAGCGGUAUCGCCGGCUAAUGGCUGUGUUAGUUACACCGGGCAAUUUCAGGGUAUCAGGAAGAUGGGGCCGACUCCGAAUGAACUUUUCCAAAAAGGAAAAGGAGGAGAGUGGAGGGAAAGACGGUAACUAUCCCACAUGGUUUGCGUAGAAAGUAGUUCUAGCCGAAGCCUCGCCGAAUCCCUGGCUGGAGCUGCACCCUGCCUCACCUCCGCGCCGCGGGUAUCACGGCGGCCGCGCGUCAAUCACUCCGAGCCGCGAGCUGGGGGCGGAGCUACGGUCUCCCGGCGCGCUCAGCUCUGCAGCCCCCGCCGCCCCCUGGCUCCCGGCAGCCCAGCAGCCGGGGCCUGCGCUCCGAGCGCUCCCUCUCCCCAACUCCUGGCUCUCGCCCUGGUUCAUGGUCCCCGGCCCAGAGAAUUGAAAACAGAUUGUUCCUCAACAGCCGCCUCCUUCUCCAACUUUGAACCCAUUCUGGAGAGUAGAAAGUAGCGAAUCCUCUGCGCGUGGCUUUGACCCGACUUCCCGGGAGAUUGGGGGGGGGCGCUCAAGGAGAAUAAAAUACUCUGUGUGUGUUUGUGAGGGAGAGAGGGAGAGAGAGAGAAGGGAGUUGUGGGGAGAGAGAAUGAGAAUAAGAGGGAGAAGGCGAGAAGGCGGAUAGGCUUUUUUUUUUUUUCCUUCUCCCUUUUCAUCUCUGCUUCACUGUUAGCUUUCGGGCAACUCUCAACUGGGCUUAGAUCGUAGCCUGCAGAGACUCCAAGCGGAGUCGGAGAAAUUUGGCCCCGUUUUAAUAGGGCUGGGGAAUGAGCUCCGGAGGUCAAUAAAGCCCUCCAAAAAUGAUGAAUGAUUGAGCACCUGUGAUGAUGAUAGUGAUUACCAGAGCAAUUAAACAGUUUGAUUAAAUGAGCCAUCAUAACAAUGAUGUCUGCGGGAAAUCGGCCCUUACAUAUAAAGAAAGAUAGUGCGGAGGGGCUUGCAGAGGCGAGUGUAGCGCGACGUCAGGGAGAGGGGCCGCGGACCGCGCGGUAUUUGCCGGGGUGGCCGGAGCAAGGACUGCCGGGCGCGCGGAGCUUCGGGGAGGAGAGUCUAGCCCAGGCUAGACUUUUCAGCCACUCUUAAGCCGGGCUUCAAGCCUGCAAGAGCCGACUGGUAUGAAACCUGCAGGUUGGGGGGGAGGGUCCUUCCCCUUCCACCUCCUCAUUUUUUUUCCCCAGAAGAACUCCAAGAUUAAAAGCAUCCUUAUUUGUUGCUGAGUUGUUCGUCGACGUAUAAGAAAAGGAUUCCCUCCAAGACUGAUAGGAAAGACAGGGCCACUUCUGGACUAUCUGUGAGGAUGUGUUUCUUUCUGUAACACUGAAGCACUUUUUAUAAACCUUUUAAUGUAUUUAAAUAAAUCUAUUUGGACAUUAAGAGAAGCCAUACAUACAAAGAUAGUUUGGCUUUAUGCCGGCAAUCCCAACAUUAGAAAAAAAAAUUCACAAUCCAAUGAGAAGCUUUUCCAUACCCAACCUUGGUCAAAAAAAAAAAAAAAGAAAAAGAAAAAGGAAAGCAAAAGAAAGUUUUCUGCGUGCAUCUGCAUGUCUUCGUGUGCACGAUUAUAAACAUCCCCCAGUCCUUGUUUGCCUGUUACCUCCCUCCUGCCAUACACUCGAAGGCAGAGGCAUCGAGGGAUGGCCCCCAGAGAUCUGUGUUUACUCAGAUUUUUAAAAAAAAUCUCUCCACCAUGUAUGACAAGUGUUACUUCAAGAAAUUCAUCAGUCUUCUAUAGAUACUUCCAGUUUUACUGUAAUGAUCUGCAGAAGAGAACUGCCAUCACUUUCUCACAUCCCAAGGUGUUGUAGGAACUCACAGAAAGGGGAGAGUGGCUGAAACGCUUAAUUACAGUGGUGGAGCGGGGGCACGAGGUGGGACCGAGGGAGGGAGAGUGAGGAAGGUCUUUACCUGGCCAGUACCUGUAGAAAGCUGUGAAACCUCACGGCGAAUAUUUGGGAAAGGUAGGGUUGCCUUUUUUUUUUUGUAAUGCCUUUGGGGAGAAGUGAUACACUUGUGUAACAAUUAGCUCAGACAAUAAAAAUAAUUGGAAAAUCA